rnacentral:rRNA from 1 species
AUGUUCUGCAGCGACCUGAAACUCUUGAACACAUCUGCGGACGGGAGAGAUAACAGGCUCGAGCAGUUCUGCAGCUCGAGCCUAGAUAAGUUGGUGAGCAGCUGCAGUGACCCAAGCAGUGGAAGUUACAGGUCACCGCACCCGCCAAUAGCUAGUUCUCUUAGUGACGAUGGCACAAGCUUAUCUUUGGCAUCUCUCAUCGUCCUCAACUUUGGACAUUGCAUUACUGCAAGUUCCUUAAGUUGUUUCAUUUCUUCAAAUGGUAUGGAUGCGGACUCCAGAUGUUUACAAUCAACAAUUGUUAGGACACGAAGAGUUCCCAUGUACAGUUUUUGCUCCAAAAGGCUCCCUUCCAACGAAGUUAAAUGA